AGCAGUGAAAAAGAAUACCCACAGACAAGGCACGGGUGGUGGGUCACCAAAGGCUGACCUUACCCCAGCAGAGGACAUGGCCUUGGAGCUAAAUAAAGGCAGGCCCGUCUUAGAGGGGAUCCCUGGGGGAAAGAGACGAGCAUAGGUUCCUCCCAAGAUGCCACCCGCUUCAUUCAAGUGCCUGGCAGCACUGUGUUCCUGUUAGAGCCACCAGCACAAGCACCAGACGAUGCUGAUCCAGGUGAAGGCCCCAGUGCAGCAGCAACAGCACAUGAUGGAGACUAUGAUGAGGAGGAGACCAUCUCUCUGGAUUCCAGAAGGCAUGAGGACCCAGAUGUUAUACAGUGGGAAAACCAGCCUGGCAACAUAGUGCGUAUUAAUAAAAGGACACCACAUCCUGCCAAAUUCCAGCUGCGCUAAUUGUAUUGUGUUCACAGAGCUCACAAGCUAUCAGAAAGUUGUAUGGCAACCACCUCCGGCGCCAAAUAGAACUGGCAGACAUAGACAUUCAGUACAAGAAGAAAAAGAUGGAAAAUCUUGCACUGGAGUCCGAAAUAAGAGGACAAUUAGGAAACUGGACCUUGAAAUAAAAAAACUUGAGAGGGAGCUCCAAGAAGAUGACACAGCUCAAAAUAAAAAUUAGCAAUCAGUACAACCAAGUCAUCGUUAUAAGGCAUCACCC